CGGCGGCCUCUCCUCCUGACGUCUUCUGGGUAAUGUAGUCCGCAGCGCUCUAGAGGCUGUCCCCAAAGGCAUUAGCUUGGCAGCCUUCUGGGGAAGACUGGACUGUGGGUCUAGGACCUCUGCUCGUUGUUAAAGGCAGCGAAUAGACAUUAUCUCACACUCCAUGAAGCUCAGCCGGCUCCUAGAGGAUGAAACUAUUAUUUGAUAUCGUUCCAUAGUCGUUCAGACCUAAAAUGAGUCCAUACACAGCUGGAAAUGUUGUUAUUGCUCUUCAAAUGCACGUGGCCUGAAGUGUUACUCACUUUUGUGAAUUUCAGGAUGGUUGGUCAGGAAGAAGAAAAUAAGAUUCCAUAAAGGUCAUGACAGAAAAGCAAACAAGUUAGAAGGGUAUUAAGCGGCCUUGAAGCAGGUGGACAAGCAGGAGCUUUGCCUCUAGUUCCCACAGAAAACGUUUCCCUUGCCUAUAUUAUCAGUCAUUUUGGGAAGUGGAAGCAAGAAUCAACAUAAUCAACAGAAGAGGAGGCAAAACAGAAAGUGCCAAACUAAGUCCUCUCAAUUUCACAAAAGCAGGCAAAGCAGAAUUGAGAGACUUACACGUCACUGUCAAAGAGCCUGAUGACACCCGAGGCUUUCAUCACCCCAUGGUGUGGGUCUAUCAUCAGAGUUACCCCAAAAGAAAAUAUAGAAGGAAGAGAGCAAUAGGAGACAAACACAUGAGGUGAGCAUGCAGUGUCUGUCUCACCCGGAAAAAACCCGUGCUGAUCUCAUGGGGAAGCCUCGGGUGAAACGGUUGUUAUGAAUGCACUGGACUGGCCGCUAACGUCUACGCAGAACAAGCCCUUCCUCCCCUGCCCUUGGACGUGAGAGUUCCUGGAUCGUGGUGCUUUGGAUACUGGGAUUUCCACCAGUGGCCUUUGGUCCUCAGGCCUUCAGACCUGGACCGAAUUAUACCACCAGCCUUCCUGGUUCUCCAGGUUGCAGCCAAGAGAUUAUGGGACUUCUCAGCCUCUGUAACCAAUUUCUAUAAUAAAUGUCAUUUUAUAUAGACCGUCAGCCCUAAGGAGCCAUAGGGGAUUGGUUCCAGCCCCCGCCUGCUGGGCACCAGAAU
rnacentral:lncRNA from 9 species